CACCAACAUGUCAGGUUUAUUUCUCCUUCGCUCUCACCUGAGAGCGGGGCAUCCAAAUCAUAACAAAACCAGGGCCCAAGAGUGGGAAGCGGCCCCCUGGGUGGGCCUGAACCUCAAUUUCACCCUUCCCCCGGGCAUAGGGCCCAGGCCAGGACGCUCACCCGAAUGUGGCUGGGCCUCCUUGUGCCCUAGGCCCACGGGGCGGAGGCAGCACCAACAUUGGGGAUGGUCCCCCAAGAACAGAGGAGGAAGCCCAGCCUCCGGCAGGCAGUAUCCACAUCCACGUCCACCUGCUCAGGCCUGCAGCCUCCAGACCU
rnacentral:antisense_RNA from 1 species